ACCUCAGAGAAGAAGACACUCCGAAUCGAAAUGGCCACUGCCGCAUUGGUGUUCUGGAUGAUAAACUUGACAUUGUGGGCUGGUUGGCUUAUGGCAUCAUGCCCCCUAUUUGUGUGUGUGUGUGUGUGUGCGUGUUUUAGCAAUCUUUUAUAGAUUUCAGUGUCUAGAUAUUUUAUAAUACUUCUCAGUUUAGAUUAUUACUAAGAAUUUUAUUCUUUUGUAUUCAGUUGUAAAUGGACUGUCUUCUUCAUUUUUGUUUCCAAUUGUUCACUGGUAAUGUACAUAUACUCAACUGAUUUUUGUGUGUUGAUUUUGUAUCCUGCAACUUUGCGUAAUUGGUUUAUUAGUUCUAAUGGUUUGUGUAUGUGUGUGUGUGUCUGUGUGUGUGUAAUUGUCAAGGUUUUCUACAUACAGCGUCAUAUUAUCUGCCAACAGUGAAAAUUUGUUUUUCUUUCUUUCUGAUUUGGAUGCCUUUUUAUUAUAUUUCUUGCCUAAUUUCUCUGGCUAGGACUUCCAGUAGUAUGUUGAAUGAAAGUGGUCAGAGUGGGCAUCCUUAACUGAUUCCUGAUCUUAGAGGAAAAGCUUUCAGUUUUUCACUGUAUAGCAUGACAUUAACUGUAGCCUGUAUUAUGUUGAGGUAAUUUUCUUCUAUUAGUUUAUUGAGUGUUUUUAUCAUGAAAGGGUGUUAAAUGUUUCAGAUGCUUUUUCUGCAUAUAUUGUGAUAAUAAUGUAAUUUUUAUCCUUUAUUCUGUUAAUGUGGUGUCUCAUAUUGAUUAUUUUUGUAUUUUGGCCAUCCGUGUAACCCAGGGAUAAAUCUGACUUGGUCAUGGUGCAUCCUAUAUAUUUUGUUAUGUUCUCUUUUCAUCUUUAUUUGUCUCAAAAUAUUUUUCUAAAGUUUACCUUCUGAUUUAUUCUUUGACUCAUUGAUUAUUCAAGAGUGUGUUGUUUAAUAUUCACAUAUCUAAGAACUUUUCCAUUUUCCUUUGCUUUUCGUUUCAUUCCAUUGUUGUUGGAAAAUAUAAUUGGCACAGUUUGAAUCUUCUUAAAUUUGUUAAGACUUCUUUGUGACUUAACAUGUGAUCUAUUCUGGAGAAUGUUUCAUGCAUGCUUGGGAAAAAUAUGUAUUCUGCUGCUGCAAGGUGGAAUGUUCUGCAAAUGUCUGUCAGUUCCAUUUGAUCUAUAGUCUGGUUCAAAUCCUCUUAUUUAUUUAUUUCCUUAUUGAUCUUCUGUCUGGAUGUUCUAUCAAUUAUUGAGUGUGGUAUAUUGAAAUUCCCUACUGUUAUUGUGUGUUGUCUAUUUCUCUAUUAAAUUCUUUCAUUGAUUGCUUCCUGUAUUUGGGUGCUCUGAUUAUGGGCACAUGUAUAUUUAUAAUUGUUACAUAUUCCUGGCAGAUUGACCCUUAUAUCAUUAUAUAAUGUCUUUGUCCUUCUUUGUCUUUUUGGACAGUUCUUGACUUAAAAUCUACUCUGUCUGAUAUAAAUUUGGCCACUCUUGCUGUCUUUUUUGACUACAAUUUGUGUGGAUUAUUUUUUCUAUCCUUUCACUUUCAGCCUGUGUGGGUCUUAAAGUCCAAAGUGAGUUUCUUGUAUACAGCAUAUAGUUGAGUCUUGUUUUCUUUAAAUCCAUUCAGCCACUAUAUCAGUCUUUUAAUCGAGAGUUAAAUUUAUUUACAUUUAAAGUAAUUAUUGAUAGGAAAGGACUUACUAUUGCCACUUCUUAAAUUGCUUUUUAGCUGUCUCAUAGCUUUUUGACUCACUUUUGCUCUCACUGUCUUACUUUGUAUUUUUCUGACUUUUUUGUAGUGGCAUGUUUUGAUUUCUUUCUCAUUUUCUUUUGAAUAUCUGCUAUAUAGGUACUUUCAUUGUGGUUGCCAUAAAACUUACAUAAAACAUGUUAUUGUUAAAAUAAUCUACUUUACACUGAUAACUUCCCCCAUACUUUAUGCUAUUGAUGUCACAAAUUACAUCUUUUUAUAUUGUAUACCCAUUGCUAGAUUUUUAUAAUUAUUUCUUAUACUUUUAUCUUUUAACUUUUAUACAAUAAUUAAAAGAUUUAUACAGCAUUGUUACAAUAUUACAGUUGUCUUAGUUUGUUAAGGCUGCUGUAAUAAAAUACCAUAAGCUGUGUAGCUUAUAAACAACAAACAAUUAUUUGUCAUGGUUCUGGAGGCUGGGUAGUUUAAGGUGAAGGUAUCAAGAGAUUUGGUAUCUGAUGAGGGCCCACUUCCUAUUCAUAGACUAUGCCUUCUCUCUGUGUUCUCACAUAGCAGAAGAGGCAAGCAAGAUCACAGGGGCCUCUUUUGUAAAAGCAUUAAUCCCAUUUAUGAAGGCUUGGCUCCCAUGACCUAAUUGUCUCCCAAAGGCCCCACUUCCUCAUACCAUUAUCUUGGGGGUUAAGAUGACAACAAAUCAACUUUGAAUGCACACAAACAUUCAGAUCACAGCAAUAGUAUUCUUUAUGUUUUUAUGUAUUUACCUUUACCAGUGAGCUUUGUAUUUAUGUAUGCUUUCAUGCUGCUGUUUAGCAUCCAUUCAUUUCAACUUGAUAAACUCCCUUUAGAACUUCUUGUAAGGCGGUCUACUGAUGAUGAAUUCCCUCAGCUUUUCUUUAUCUGGGAGAGUAUUUUUCCUUAAUUACUAAAGGAUAGUUUUUCUGGAUACAGUAUUCGUGACUGGCAGGUUUUUUUUCUGUCAGUGUUUUGAUAUAUCAUCCCACUUCUCUUCUGUCUUGGAAGGUUUCUUCUGAGAAAUCUGGUGUUAGUCUCUUGUUCAUAACAAGUUGCUUUUCUCCUGGUGCUUUCAAAAUUGUUUUUCUUUGACUUUUGACAAUUUGAUUAUGAUGUUGCUUGGUGUGUAUUUCUUUGAAUUCAUCUUAGUUGGAGCGUGCAGAGUUUCUCAAAUCUAGAUGUCCAUUUCCAUCCUUACAUUUGGGAAGUUUUCAGCCAUUAUUUUAUUAAGUAAUGUUUCUGCCCCAUUCUCUCUCUCUUCCCCUUCUGAAACAACAAUAAUGCAAAUAUUGGUCCAUUUGAUGGUGCCUUGUAUGUCCCUUAGGUUUUCUUUAUUCUUUGUCAUUCUUUUUUCAUUUUGAGCCUCUAGCAGAUAAUUUCACAUGACUCAUAUUCAAGUUUGCUGAUGUUUUCUUCUGAAUAUCAAGUCUGCCAUUAAACUUCUCUAGUGAGUUUUGCAGUUUAUUUUCUUUUUCAGCUCCAAAACUUCUUUUUUAUAUUUUCUGUAUCUUUCUUAAUACUUUAUUCUGUUCGUUUGUUAUUUCUUUGAGCUCAGUGGGCAUCUUUAUGACAAUUAUUUUGAAUUCUCUUUCAAGUUGUCCACAUACCUCUUUGUAGAUCCAGUUUCUGGAGAUUUAGUUUAUUCCUUUGAUUGAGCCAUGUUUCCUUGUUUUUUCAUGCACCUUGUGGCUUUGUAUUAGGAUCUGUCACUUCUCCCAGUCUUCAGACUGGCUUUGUUUAGAUAAGACUCCCACUAAGUAGCCCAUAAAGAGAUUCUGGAAUCCUCUGAAACUUUUUGGGGUAUCUGGGCCUGUGCAUGCAAUUUCUCAGAGAGGCUUACUGUGUUUUUUGUUUCCCCUCAGGAACUCAUUAUCUUUUCUGAUGUCUGUCUGUGCCACCACAAGUUAUCUGGUUCUACAGCUGCAAGUUUCCCACUCUCUUUUGUUGUCAGUGGCUGGCAAAUAUCCAGGGCAUGCAAGCUUCCUAUCAGUACACUGAGUAAGGUGAGACAGAUAUCAGUUUCUCAGAAGCUGGUGUUCCAAGAAGCUAGAAUGACAGACUCAUUUCUCGCUCCUUUCUCCUUCCCUCUUGAAGGAGAAGCCUUGAGUUGUGCAUCUUCUCUUGAUUUUACUGAGGAAAAAGAUGUGAAGAGGCAUUCUGUCUUGGCACUGAGCUGUGCUAACUUGGGGGAGAGGCUGAUGCAGGUUGACCUUGCUAGGUUAUAGAGGCAUGUUCUAUCGUCUUUAUUAAGGAGGUGUUUCACUCUUGUUGCCCAGGCUGAAGUGCAAUGGCACGAUCUCGGCUCACUGCAACCUCCGUCUCCCGGGUUCAAGUGAUUCUUCUGCCUCAGCCUCCCGAGUAGCUGGAAUUACAGGCAUAUGCCACCACACCCAGCUAAUUUUCCAUUUUUAGUAGGGACGGGGUUUUACCAUGUUGGUCAGGCUGGUCUUGAACUCCUGACCUCAGGUGAUCCACCUGCCUUGGUCUCCUAAAGUGCUGGGAUAGCAAGCAUGAACCGCUGCGUCUGGCCCAUUUUUCUUAUUCUUAAACAUCCUACUAAACAUUUUGGAGCUAGUUGUAUUAGGAGGUUUAUUUUCUAUGUGGAUGGAGCAGUUUAAAAAAGCUGAAAUAAGUGAAAUCUUCCAAGUGAUUUAAAAAAUUUUUAAGCCCAUGUUUCUACCUACUAAAAUUCAAAAAUAUUUACUAUAGAAGAUGACUAGUCUUCUUUAUGACAGUUAUUUUAAUUUAAAAGGAAUUAAAAGGAUAUAACUUUUCUUGAAACAUUUGCACUUAAUCAUGCUGUCAAUUCAUUAUAUGAUUUUGGAUUACUUGCUUAAUGUUUCUAUUUCUUCUCUGUUAAUACUAAUUACUCCUAAUAAUUAUAAGAAUUGUUAUUGUAUCCAAUUUAGAAAUCCUGUUAUGGAAGCUAUUUUUAUAGUGUAUUAUGAUUAAUGCAUACAAUGUCCAUGUAAACUUUCAAUUUUUAAAUGUGACACUACUUAUCUAUUGAACACUUACCAUGUGCUAGGCACUGUUCUUGAAUGCUUUAUGCAUAAAAGCACAUUUAAUCCCAUCAUAGCCAAUAAAGUAUUAUUACCUUGAUUUUACAAAUGAGAUAACUCAGAUAUGCAGACAUCGAGUAACUUGGCCAAGUAUACGUGUUAUGGAUUGAAUUGUGUCCUCCCAAUAUUCAUGUGUUGAAUCACUAACCCCUAAUGUGACUAUAUUUGGAGACAGAGUUUUUAAGGAGGUUAAUAAGUUAAAUGAGGUCACAAGUGUGGGGCUAUAAUCCAAUAGGACCAAUGACCUUCUAAGAAGAGGAAGACACACCAGGCAUGCACACGCACAGAAAAGAAGACCAUGUGAGGGCACAGCAAGAAGAUGGCCAUCUGCAAACUAAGAGGAGAGGCCUCAUUAGAACCUAACCCUGCACCAUGAUCAUGGACUUCCAGCCUUCAGAGUUAGGAAAAUAAAAUUCUGUUGUUUAUGCCACCAAAUCUGUGGUAUUCGCUUAUGAAAACCAUAGAAAAUUAUACAAUACCCAACAAGCAAAUAGCAGAAUGGAAUUAAACCCAUAAAGGAUGGCUUCAAAGGCAAUGCUUAACCACUAUACUGCCUUUAAAAAUUGUCCUAACAGUUCAACUUCAAUUACAGAAAGUUUAUAAUAAUUAGAUGUUAAUACUUUUAUGCUUAACUUUAUAUUUCUAUUUCAAAUGCUUAUUUCCUUUUCAAUAGUUAAUAUUUUCUGGACAGCAAUUCUGGACUAUUUUCUAAAUUCUCUGUUUUCUAAAUUCUUAUGUCAUGCCCUCUGUCAUAAGAAUGUUUAUACCCUAUGAUCUUCUAAAAAUAAAUCCUUAAAAGAUGAUAUGGUUUGGCUAUGUGUCCUCACCCAAAUCUCAUGUUAAAUUGUAAUCCCCAUUGUUGGAGGAUGGACCCAGUGGAAGGUAAUUGGAUCGGGGGGUGGAUUUUCCCCUUGCUGUUCUCACUAUAGUGAGUGAGUUCUCAGGAGAUCUGGUUGUUUAAAAGUGUGUAGCACUUCCCUGUUUGCCCACUGUCUCUCUGUCUCCUGCUCUGACAUGGUAAGACAUGUUUGCUUCCCCUUCACCUUCCACCCUGAUUGUAAGUUUCUUGAGGCCUCCCAGCCAUGCUUCCUGUACAGCCUAUCGAGCUGUGAGUCAAUUAAACCUCUUUUCUUUAU
rnacentral:lncRNA from 10 species